UACGGGGGGAGCAAGCGUUGUUCGGAUUUACUGGGCGUAAAGGGCGCGUAGGCGGCCUCCGCAAGUCAGUUGUGAAAUCUCCGAGCUUAACUCGGAAAGGUCAACUGAUACUGCGGGGCUAGAGUGCGGAAGGGGCAACUGGAAUUCUUGGUGUAGCGGUGAAAUGCGUAGAUAUCAGGAGGAACACCAAUGGCGAAGGCAGCUCGCUGGGACGUGACUGACGCUGAGACGCGAAAGCGUGGGGAGCAAACAGG
rnacentral:rRNA from 1 species